GGGGUUGUGGCUUAGUGAUAGAGCGCUCACCUAGCAUGUGUAAGGCACUGAGUUUGAUCCUCAGCACCACA
rnacentral:tRNA from 1 species